GGACGUGAGGGUGAUCUGGCUGCGACAUCUGUCACCUCACUGAUCGCCAGGGUUGAUGCGGCUGAUCUGGCUGGCUUGGCGGGUGUCCCCUUUCUCCCUCGAUGAUCCAUGUGCGUCCCUCCCGAAGCUGUGCGACCGGUCGAAGAGGACAACCGCCCCUGAUAGAGGAGGACCGUUCCUCGGUCAAGGGCAUACGAGUAGCUGCGCUCCCCUGCUAGAACCUCCAAACACGCUCUCAAGAAAUUAAGUGACCUGCUUCAUAAUUAAGAUGGCUAAGCUGUAGUGAUCAAGCACUUUUAUAGUCAUAUAUAACUGAACAUAUAUCAAAUUUUCUGCAUAU
rnacentral:snRNA from 1 species